rnacentral:rRNA from 2 species
AAAGUGCGCUAAUCCAUGCGAACUGCAGAACACAUGGAGCAUCGAAAUCUUGAACGUAAAUGGCGGCCCAGCUUCUCGCUCGGGCCACAUCUGACUGAGGGUCGGUCG